rnacentral:rRNA from 1 species
GAUGAACGCUGGCGGCGUGCCUAACACAUGCAAGUCGAACGGAAAUGUUUAGAUGAAGUUUUCGGAUGGAUUCUUUUCAUUUUAGUGGCGGACGGGUGAGUAACACGUGGGUAACCUGCCCUGUACCGGGGGAUAACACUUAGAAAUAGGUGAUAAUACCGCAUAAGCACACACUGACGCAUGUCAGAGUGUGAAAAACUCCGGUGGUACAGGAUGGACCCGCGUCUGAUUAGCUUGUUGGCGGGGUAACGGCCCACCAAGGCGACGAUGCGUAGGGGUUCUGAGAGGAAGGUCCCCCACACUGGUACUGAGACACGGACCAGACUCC